rnacentral:lncRNA from 1 species
CAAAAUAACAAUCCUCCAAAAUUUAAUCAAGUCCACUAGGCAAUGAUAAAAUAUGUGUUCCUACAACUGAUGCAAGAACUCUUGCUCCAUUUCCAACUCGUAGGUUUACAUCUCCUUUAGCCAAAUUCCUACUCCUUUAUAGUCCCUGUAUAGAGGUACAAAUAUGAGAUCCACAUUUGGUAUCUAAUACCUAUAAAGUAGAUGUUGAUAAAUUAAUUUCAAUAACAUAAAUACCUGAAGUGUCUAGUCUUACCACAAUGGAAACAUUUUCCUUCCUUAGCAAUUCCUCCUUUAGGUUUCAAUGCAGCUUUUCCUUUGUUGAGUUUCACCUUGC